GGGUCAAUAAUGAAAUCUUUACCUUGUCUCUUGGGAGGUGUUUUCUUAAAAGUCAUGCUCAAUAGACUUAUGCUGAGGACC
rnacentral:snoRNA from 1 species